AACAGGUGCCUUUUCCGACAUGGGGGGUCCAGAGCUGAAAGCACAGCACAGAAGGAGAGAGGAAAUAAUCAAUUAUUUUUGGCAAUGAAGCUGUUUGACAUGCUUUACUUGGGAUCCUGGAUAGACCAUUAUUCCAAAAGGCAGUUCUUCUCCUGGCCUAACAUUUCAAAAUUCACUGUGAACUGUUUGUACUAUAGACAUGUGGGUUGUUUUUUUUUUUAAAUAAUCUUGUGAAUAGUCCAUAAUAUAAAAUUGCAACAGUAGCAAGACACACUAAAAUUCCAAACAGCUGCAGCCCAUCAUAUGUGAUGUGUACCUUUCAGUAAAGAACACAGCGAUUGUGUUCCUCAGUAUUAGAACUCAGUUAAUUGAUUCUUUUAACCUGAUGGGUUCUGCAAGUUUUACAGUGCAACCCUCUGUAGGAGUUCAGUGGGCCCUGUUCUGCAGUAAGCGUGCGUUGCAGCCUAAAUAUCAAGUUUGACUGAUGUUUCUGUUUCUGUUUUGCCUUAGUUGCUAUUUUGUCUCUCUGGGUUCUCUAUAAAACUCUGAUGGGGCUGGAGAUUAUAUCGAUUUAUGUUAAUUAACCUGUAAGGGGGGCUUUCUGGAAAAUCUAGAAUUGACAAAACUUUCAGGGGAAGCGUUCUUGUGCAACUUAGGCUUAAUGCAUUGGCACAUUUUCAGUUUGUAUUGGAACGUUUCCUCCGAUGCCCUAGACCAGGGAGUGACCUAAUUUAGCGUGUUUGGUCUCCUUGUAUUUCGUAAGCAUAGCUAAAAGCUUUGAAACUGCCAAGCUUGCCUAAUGCUAAAUGUAUUUUCAGCUGGCAUCUAUUCAUUGCUGCUAAUGAACUUCACAAAACGGGGAGGGGGAAAACUCUGCAGAAAAGUAAAGCCUCGGAAAUUCCUUUGCAGCCAACAUCACCCAUGUUAACCAUUUUUAAACCGAUGGUGACAGCAGAGCAGAGUUCUUUCUCUGACCUCCAUUAGAGACUUCUGAGAGGGAGAGAAACAUCACAAAAUUGGCGAUAGGGUUGCUGGCACUUGUUGGCCAGGCCAAACUCCAGUCGGCCAUUGUGCCCUCUGCCUUACAAAUUCCAUGGAGGCAUUGACGACUAGGAGACGCUGACGGGCCGCUGUCCAUAGCUGUUGGCUGUGUUGGGUCUUUUCAUUUGCAAAGCGUGCCUUGGGAUAGCCAGCUCCAAUCUGCAGCCUUCCAGAUUUUUUGGACUACAACUGCUGGUUUUGUCUGCUGUUCUUAGGCUGUCCAUUUUAAAUUGUUGAUUUUCGGUUUCGAUGUAUUAUGUCAGGGGUCGGCAACCUAAGGCCCAUGGCCACAAGCAGCCCAUGGGGGUCAUUUAACCGGCCUAUGGACCCCUGCCGCCCGUUUGGUCGGCUCCCGUGCGCUGCGCUAAACCGAUACAAAGCAGAGCGGGGACCGCCUUCCACGACACUGGCUGGCUUCCCAUUGGCUGCAGGAAGGUCCUGCAGCCAAUGGAAAGCUGUGCACGCCUCCUCCGCGCCAGAAGGAGCGCCGAAAAUAGCGUUUGUGCAUGCGUGCGUGCACACUCCGGCUCACUGCGGCGUCUGUGGGACCGUGAACCGGCCCAAGCCACAAAAACUUUUCCGACCCCUGUAUUAUCUGUCGACCCUAGGACCCUCAGGGUGAACAGCGGACCACAAAUACUCCUGAAUACUUACCUUCACGUUGGCUGUGGUUGAUGGGGGUUGUAGUUCAAAAUAUCUGAAAGUCCCCAGGCUGGAAUAUCUCCCAGUCCUGCAGUGAACAGCAGCAUGGCUCAGGAAAGUCAGCCUCUUCUGCCCCUGAAUUGCAGGUCUGUCCCUUUGGUUUCCUCUGUACCUCAGUUGUCUUUAACGUGCUGAAAUAGGAUAACAUUUGCCUACCUCAAGAGGAGGGUAAGUAGCGCAAGUAAGACAGUGCAAGUUGAAAUGAGGGAAUGUGGAAGGGUGAAGGUGGGUUAAGGAGGACCCCAGUCCAAAAAGCUCUCCAAUGCAUACCUGAGGAAUUGAAUUUGAACAGUCGCCCCUCUUGUAGAAGGGUGUUGUUGUU